GACGAACGCUGGCGGCGUGCCUAAUACAUCAGCGACGACUGCAGCGGCGGAUGGGUGAGUAAUGCCUAGGAAUCUGCCUGGUAGUGGGGGAUAACGUCCGGACACGGGCGCUAAUACCGCAUACUAUCAGAUGAGCCUAGGUCGGAUUAGCUAGUGGGUGGGGUAAAGGCCUACCAAGGCGACGAUCCGUAACUGGUCGGAGAGGAUGAUCAGCAACACUGGAGCUGGGACACGGUCCAGACUCCGACGGGAUGCAGCAGGGGGGAAUAUUGGACAAUGGGCGAAAGCCGGAUGCAGCCAUGCCGCGUGUAUGAAGAAGGCCUUCGGGUUGUAAAGUACUUUCAGCGAGGAGGCGUUACUCGCAGAAGAAGCACCGGCUAACUCCGUGCCAGCAGCCGCGGUAAUUC
rnacentral:rRNA from 1 species